AGGCUUUGAUCCUGGCUCAGAAUGAACGUUGGCGGCGUGGAUUAGGCAUGCAAGUCGAGCGAGAAGUUUCCUUCGGGAGACGGACAGCGGCGAAAGGGAGAGGAAUACGUAGAAAUCUACCCCUGAGUCCGGGAUAGCGUCGGGAAACUGGCAGUAAUACCGGAUAACGUCUUCGGACCAAAGGUGUGAUUCCGCUCGGGGAUGAGUCUACGCCCUAUUAGCUAGUUGGUGGGGUAAUGGCCUACCAAGGCAAUGAUGGGUAGCGGGUGUGAGAGCAUGACCCGCCUCACUGGGACUGAGACACUGCCCAGACACCUACGGGUGGCUGCAGUCGAGAAUCUUUGUCAAUGGACGAAAGUCUGAACAAGCGACGCCGCGUGCGGGAUGAAGGCCUUCGGGUUGUAAACCGCUGUCGUAGGGGAACAAAUGUAGAGGGGUUCUCCCCAUUUAUUUGAGUGAUCUUAGGAGGAAGGACGGGGUAA
rnacentral:rRNA from 1 species